UUUAAGCGCGAAGAAUGUCCCCAAGGAACUGUUCCCAUUCAAAGGACUUCAAAAGAAGAUCUUUUACGGGCUAAAGCUUUAUCCAGAGAAUUCACUAUCAAUAUCAGCCAAAGCAAGAGACAUUUCCCUGGACAAUAUAUUGCGGAUGUUAAUGAUGAGACACCUGAUCUACUUCAUGGAGCUUCUGCAAUCAUGAAUGUAUACAAUCCAACUGUAGAGCCUUCGCAGUUUACAACUGCCCAAAUUUGGAUUAAUGGUGGUCCAAAUGAAACCCCUAAUUAUAUAAUGGCUGGAUGGACGGGUGAUAAUUAUCAGAAUGGAUGCUACAAUACUCUUUGCACAGGUUUUGUACAAAUUGACAAAUCAGUGACUCCAAGUGAUACUAUAUCUCCAAUUU